rnacentral:rRNA from 1 species
CGAAAACUCCGCAAUGCGCGCAAGCGUGACGGGGGAACCCCAAGUGCCGUUGAUCUUUGAUCGGCGGCUUUUCGGGAGCGUAAGGAGCUCCCGGAAUAAGGGCUGGGUAAGACUGGUGCCAGCCGCCGCGGUAAUACCAGCAGCCCAAGUGGUGGUCACAUUUAUUGGGCCUAAAGCGCUCGUAGCCGGGCCGGUAAGUUCCCCGUGAAAUCGGGUCGCUAACGAUUCGGCUUGCGGGAAAUACUGUCGGUCUUGGGGCCGGGAGACGCCGAGGGUACUCCGGGAGUAGCGGUGAAAUGUUGUAAUUCUCGGAAGACCACCGGUGGCGAAGGCGCUCGGCGAGAACGGACCCGACGGUGAGGGGCGAAAGCUGGGGGAGCGAACGGGAUUAGAUACCCCGGUAGUCCCAGCUGUAAAGGAUGCGGGCAAGGUGCUUGUCGCUCUUCGAGGGCGCCAAGUGCCGUAGAGAAGUCGUUAAGCCCGCCGCCUGGGAAGUACGGUCGCAAGGCUGAAACUUAAAGAAAUUGGCGGGGGAGUACCACAAGGGGUGGGACCUGCGGUUCAAUUGGAUUCAACGCCGGACAACUCACCAGGGGCGACAGCAGGAUGAAGGUCAAGUUGACGACUUUACUGGACUAGCU